rnacentral:rRNA from 1 species
AUCUAUACGGUGAAACUGCGAAUGGCUCAUUAAAUCAGUUAUCGUUUAUUUGAUAGUACCUUACUACUUGGAUAACCGUGGUAAUUCUAGAGCUAAUACAUGCUAAAAACCCCAACUUCGGGAGGGGUGUAUUUAUUAGAUAAAAAACCAAUGCCCUUCGGGGCUCCUUGGUGAUUCAUGAUAACUUAACGAAUCGCAUGGCCUUGCGCCGGCGAUGGUUCAUUCAAAUUUCUGCCCUAUCAACUUUCGAUGGUAGGAUAGUGGCCUACCAUGGUUUCAACGGGUAACGGGGAAUUAGGGUUCUAUUCCGGAGAGGGAGCCUGAGAAACGGCUACCACAUCCAAGGAAGGCAGCAGGCGCGCAAAUUACCCAAUCCCGACACGGGGAGGUAGUGACAAUAAAUACUGAUACAGGGCCCUUUCGGGUCUUGUAAUUGGAAUGAGUACAAUUUAAAUCCCUUAACGAGGAACAAUUGGAGGGCAAGUCUGGUGCCAGCAGCCGCGGUAAUUCCAGCUCCAAUAGCGUAUAUUAAAGUUGUUGCAGUUAAAAAGCUCGUAGUUGAACCUUGGGCUUGGCUGUCCGGUCCGCCUCACCGCGUGCACUGGUGCGGCCGAGCCUUUCCUUCUGGGAAGCCGCAUGCCCUUCACUGGGUGUGUCGGGGAACCAGGACUUUUACUUUGAAAAAAUUAGAGUGUUCAAAGCAGGCCUAUGCUCGAAUACAUUAGCAUGGAAUAAUAGAAUAGGACGUGUGGUUCUAUUUUGUUGGUUUCUAGGACCGCCGUAAUGAUUAAUAGGGAUAGUCGGGGGCAUCAGUAUUCAAUUGUCAGAGGUGAAAUUCUUGGAUUUAUUGAAGACUAACUACUGCGAAAGCAUUUGCCAAGGAUGUUUUCAUUAAUCAGUGAACGAAAGUUAGGGGAUCGAAGACGAUCAGAUACCGUCGUAGUCUUAACCAUAAACUAUGCCGACUAGGGAUCGGGCGAUGUUAUCAUUUUGACUCGCUCGGCACCUUACGAGAAAUCAAAGUCU